GACGAACGCUGGCGGCGUGCUUAACACAUGCAAGUCGAACGAAGUGGCGAACGGGUGAGUAACGCGUAAUCAACCUGCCCUUCAGAGGGGGACAACAGUUGGAAACGACUGCUAAUACCGCAUACGGAAGGGGGGGAUUGCGUUUGAUUAGCUAGUUGGGGGGGUAACGGCCCACCAAGGCGAUGAGCAGUAGCCGGUCUGAGAGGAUGAACCGCCACAUUGGGACUGAGACCCGGUCCAGACUCCUACGGGAGGCAGCAGUGGGGAAUCUUGCGCAAUGGGCGAAAGCCUUACAGAGCCAUGCCGCGUGAGGGAAGAAGGUUUUCGGAUUGUAAAACUCUGUUGUUAGAGAAGCGGUAUCUAACCAGAAAGCCACGGCUAACUACGUGCCAGCAGCCGCGGUAAUAC
rnacentral:rRNA from 1 species